CUAGAUUGUUCAGAAGGUUGUUAUCAUCCAUCCAGAUGGAGGAUCACUAACAGGAGCGUGGGAAGACUCCAGAAUUCACUCUGGCUGGAAUCCGGUGGAUACAGCAGUGUUUACAGAACAGUUCUCCACAGUCACUGUCCAUAUGGGUCAGUGGGACCAAGAAGCACUCUGCUAAUGUGUGGACUCUGACCAGCAACAUCCAGCAAGACCCAGACAGCGUUUUCUAUCUCCCAGCUGGAGUUUUUUGUUUGUCUGUGACUGGAGAGUCAGAUUUUUGUUGAGCUUCAUACUUGCAGAGGAGAAUCAUCAAUUUUGCCAGCAAAGAAGCCUGGUGGAUGUUUGUUUACAGUCUGAUGGUGGGACGUCAUGCUCUGCAUCUUUAAAGUUUGUCUCUUGAUUAUUAUUCAUACCCAGUAAUGUGAAGUAUGCUCAUAUCUACUAUAACUGAACCAACCUGGUGCUCUUCAUUUAUGGAGGCUGUUGAGUCUGAAUGUUGGAUGUUGUGUAUCUCGUGUUCUCUGGGCUUUGUUGUCCUCAGUCUUUUUGCAGGAUCAGAAAACAAAACCAGGAGGCGCGUAAAUGUUUCUUCUCCAUGAUGUUUCUUCAAAUGUUUCUUCUGGAUGAUGAUAUGACCGUGACACGGGAUGCCACCUUUGGUCUUGUGAUGAAGCAAAGCUCAGGAAGAAGUGUGAUUAAAUGGUACCCACAUGUGUGCUGCUGAGAAGGAUGUACAGGGGCACCUGCAGCCAAAUCCAAGC